GAGGGGAGGCAAGCCAACAAGAACUGCUAAUUCUUGUAUCUGAGUAUAAAACCCCAGUCCCCUUA
rnacentral:tRNA from 1 species